rnacentral:rRNA from 1 species
UACGUAGGGGGCGAGCGUUGUCCGGAGUUACUGGGCGUAAAGGGCGUGCAGGCGGUGCGAUAAGUUUGGAGUGACAGUACCCGGCUUAACUGGGUAAGGCCUUCGAAAACUGUCGGACUUGAGGGCCAGAGAGGGACAUAGAAUUCCGGGUGGAGUGGUGAAAUGCGUAGAUAUCCGGAGGAAUACCAAAGGCGAAGGCAGUGUCCUGGCUGGCAACUGACGCUGAGGCGCGAAAGCUAGGGGAGCGAACAGG